CUGAUCUGCAUACAUAAUAUAAUUGAUUUUAAUGAAACAUUUGUCAAAUUUAUGAGAAAAAAGACGAUUGAAAUUACUAAAUAGCAAACCUCGAGCGGAAUGUUUAGGAAGUUUACAUUGUCCUUGGCUGGGAUUGUCGGUAUACAACUCAAACUGCCCCGGAUCUAACAUAAGACGACCAAGCCACAUCAGCUGUGAAAAUGUGCCACUACUACUUUAUAAAAUUUAGAAAUAGCCGAGAUCAGACCGAAGCGUACUUACUUGCGUGUGUUUUAGUGAAAGUGAACAACGAGCGAGAGAGCUCAUAAUUUCCCUGCACAUGAGGAAAGUGAAAGCCACCAAAGCGAAGAUCGAGAUGGAUGAAUGAAUGAUGCUCACUUUCUCGCUGUAUGCCAUCGUCAUCAUUUAUUAUCUAUGUCAGUAAGAGUGAUUUUAAUACACAAUUAGCAAGUGAAUAUUGUUCUGAUUCCUUAAAUAAAUUGAAUCUUGAACACAUAUUAAAUCCCUUUAUUAUAUAUUUUUAUUCAUAACGACAUGUAUAAUAAUUAGACGCUUAAUUAUAAAAUUAGUUAAAACUGUCAAAACCAAUAAUACUAUUUUACUAAACAAAUUUAUGAUUUUGACAGAGGUCUAAGGAGA